GGAGGGUGUUUUAGCUUUCUGUUAGUCACAGAAGGAAUAUUGAAAUAUAGUGCAUAUGGAGCACUUUUCAUGGUGCCUUUUCUUUUAUGCUCACGAUUGACUUUUGUUGUAUGGAAAACAGCAACAUGAACAUUCUGCUAAACAUUUCCUUUUGUGUUCCAUGGAAGAGAGCAAGUCUUAAGGAAAGACAUGGUGGUGAGUAAAUGAUGACGUAAUUUUUAUUCUUGGAUAAAACACUUUCAGCAGCUUUAAGCGCUCCCAACUUAAAAGUCAUUGGUUUCAUCCCAUUUUCAAAAUUGAGGCCAAGAUUACAAUGUUCUUUGUAAGCUACCGUUCAAAAAUUUGGGUCAGAAUGAAUUAAAAAAAAAAAAUAAUAAUUUUAUUUAGCAAGGAUCCAGACAUUUGUAAUGUUGCAGCAUGUGACAGAAGACUUGAGUAUGCUUGUUUGCCAUCACAGGAAUAAAUUAAAUAUUAAAAUAUACUAAAACCGUAAACAGUUAUUUAAAUAAAUUGCAAUCAUAUUUCACAUUAUUAAUUCUUUGAUUGUAUUUUUGAUCAAAUAAAUACAGCAUUGGUGAAAAUAAGGGAUUUGUUUCAUAAUGAAUAAAUCAGUUAAAUAAAUAUAAAAAUCUUACUGACCCCUGACUUUUGAAAAGUGGUGUAUAUCCUCUGUCACCCUCAAGAUGACCUAAUAUCCCAUUUUGUUCUGCAGACAUAAUUCAAAUGGGACACAAAUAGGGCAAGUGGAUGAUGCACAUUUUAUUUGGGUGCUGUUCACCUUAAUGGUUGCCUGAAGGGUUAGUUGGCUUGAGUGUGUGAAGCCUGGGCACAGCUCCUGUGUCUGGGAGGUUCUCUCUCUGGGAGGGCACUUGGAGAAAGCUUGCACUGUCUGGGAUCUUUAGCAGGGGUACAGAGACUGUGGUGCAGUGUGUAUCUCCAGCAGUCAUGGUGUGCUGUGUCUGUAUGGGAUGUUACCUUGUACUCGAUCUGCUCCUGCUUGGAAUGCAUGUGGAGGGCAAAUGGAAAGCCAUGAACUCCAGUGUCUCUUCUAAGAAUGAAGAUCUUCGUAGUGAAUGGGACAUGUCGUCUAAUCCGAACAGAACUGCAAAGCAUUCGGUUCGUGGCUUUGUAGUGGUGGACGAGUCUGACCUUCUCACGUCUCCCGCUGUCAGCACACAUAGCAGGUAUAAGGACACCAGUGACAAAAAGAUCCAGUCUACCACCUUCAAAUCAUCAGAGGAGACCUUCACCUCUCAAAAACUGAAAGCAGAUUUGGGUGGAGGCCGUCUUGAGCGGCUCCCUUUGAAGCCCUCUGGGGACAUUGCUGACCUGGAUUCUAUUUUGAAUGUGAAGACAUCAGCUGGUCAGAAGGAUCUGGUCAGGCCUACAGCCCAUCCUGAGUUAAACCAGCUGACUGAAGAAGGUUUCUUACUUCCUUCAAAGGGCUUCGAAGUAGAUAAAAAGCCUUUGGUCAGUGUUCACUCAAAAAAAGGAUAUGAAUCGCUUGUAGGCAAAGGACAAGCUGACUACAAGCACUCAAGCAAAAAUGGAGUUGCAUUUAAACAUGGUGAUGUUAUAUUAGGCGUGGAUGGAAGGAGAUACCGGCUCCUCAGUGGACCUCCAGGGCCUGUUGGACCACCAGGGAGAACAGGGUGCGCAGGCAAAAGGGGCUAUAUUGGAUACAAGGGUGAUAAGGUAAGGAAUUUACAUUAUAAUAUUCGGUGAUUAUGGGAUCACACUGAUUUGUACCUGUAUUUCGUUCCAGGGUUCUCAAGGAGACCAAGGAGCAGAUGGGCUAAGAGGCAUACCAGGACCUCCAGGUCCACCAGGACUCCCAGUCCUCUACCUUUGGAGGAACACAGAGGAGGACUGGGCUGCUUUUAAGGUAGGCCUUAAUACGCCAUAUUCUGGAGAAUCAUCUAUCUAUCUGGUGAAUCCCUUAUAGCUUAGGCUUCCCUAGGUUGGCCAUACGGGCCAUUUUUAUGGGACGUGUCCUGGCCAGGAUUUGUAUAUUGCCUAAAAUAUCCCAGUUUUGCUUUGUUUUCUUGUUUUCAUACUUGAUGGAGGUAAUGAUCGAAAAGUAGUUUGACCAAUAACGUGCAGGCAUUGUACAUAAUCGACGAUUGGUCGAUUAUCAAAGGUGGGUUCUACUGAGAGCAGUCAAAGCGAUGCAAAUAUGUGCACAUAUUAGUAGUGUUCAUUCAUUCAUUUGACUUAAAGCAGCGCUGCGCAGACCGAUCGUUGUAUGACAUCAAAGUACCGUGAGAGCAAUACGAAAGCACAAGGAGCCGCCUGCUCUCUAUUACUCUCGUGUAUGUCAUACAACGAUCGGUCUGUGGAGCACAAACAGCCAAAACCUGGAUAUUUCAGGAAAUAUAGAAAUCUUGGCCAGGAUGAGUCCUGUAAAAAUGGCAUGUAUGGUCACCCCAGGCUUCACUAUUUGUAGUCUGACUAGCCACGGAAAUCAUGUGCCACAGUUUAAAUGAGCUAAAUUGGCAUAAAUUAGAUGAAUCAAGAUAAAUUAGACGAUCAUCCUGCCCAUCCCUACCAAACAUGAAUAUAUAGCAGUGAGCCACCGCCCUGUCUCUCAAACUGCUGGAUUACACAGUCUUUCUGUGUUCCUGCCAGACCUUGUAUUCUCUCUAUUUGUGACUCUCUAUUUUUGAACAUAUAUUUAAGUAUAAUUGUAAAACCUCAGAUUUGACCUCCCUUUAGAUUCUCAGAA
ensembl:lncRNA